CAUUCCUUCUCUCUCACAACUCCAGAUGUCUCACAAAACUCCAGAUCUUCUCUCUCUCACUCUCUCUCCUUCUCUCGCUCUACGACUCAAGAACAUCAUGCCAGAUCUCUCAUCAGAUGCCGUUUCAUGACAAGAUCGUUGAAGUGGUUCCGACACCUGAGCUCUGGUGGAGGAGACUAGGGUUUCGGCGAAGAUAAAGCCAUCGGAGGCUAAACAACUCAAAAAGGCUGCUUAAUUUGGUUUUUUGUCACCUGAAACCCUAAUUCAUUCAUUGGAGGAAACUGCAGGUGUUGUGUCUGAAGGUGGUAGGGGCCUGAGCAUUUGGGAUGUUUUCUGCCUCACAAAUCCAGGUUUGUCUUCUUCACCAUGAGCACAUACAGUAAGGUGUGUUAAAUAGGUAGUGUUUGCCGGUUGACGGCUCCAACCCGACACUAACCUGAAUACGACAAACCUUGGUUUAAAACCUUGGUUUAAAAAGCGGGAAGAACACAAAAGCAAUGAGGUCUAAAAUUAUUUAUUGGAUUAUUUUGAAUUUAAUGUUAGGUGACUGAUGCGAUUGAGAUGUUGGUCCGUAUGUUACAUAGAGUUUAAGUAGAGGGUAAUAUAUACUUAUCUUUGCUGCAAUAGAUUGUUAAUGUUUAAUAAUUUGAAUUACAAUCUCUAUAUUCUCAAUGUAGAUCAGAUCCACCAUCCAAUGUGCCUAAAAAAGCUUCUAAAGUGAUAAAUCCUAGAUGAAGCUUCGAGGAAAGAAUAUCUGGUCAAUAAAGCUCUUUCUCAGAUUUUAUAGUUGUUUUUAGAGAGCUUGAAAAUAAAUGUGUUUUGUUUUCAUAUAGGAAAGAAAAUACCUGAAUCAAAGAAUUGUUUGAAAAUAUUGAAAAGUUGGGGUAAAGUUUGAUUCAAUUGAAAGGCUGAAUCUUGGAAUGGAGAAUCCUGAUGGGAAUUUGUAAACUUUGAAGUUAUUUUAACAAAAAAAACCUUUUUUAAACCAACCCGACCCGAAACCCACUCCGGCCCGAACCCAUUCUGACCUGAACCCAUCCCGACCCUAACCCAUUCCGACCCGCCACCCAAUCCGACCCGAAUCAAAGAUUCGCUACCUUUUUUGGAUGAUUCCAUGUCGGAUCUGUGUAAUACUUUCAGAAUGUUGAAUUUGAUUUAUGUGAAGGUGUUUUGUUGUUCGUUGUUUCUUCGAAUCUCCAUUUGUUGUUUUAUUUUUCUUCGAAGCUCCAUGUGCGGAUGUUAAGUUGACUGAACAAAAUAACGACUCAACGGUAAGAUUAUUGAGCAGAUCGGUUGCAACUGAGACGAGAUCCUUUAGCAGUACAUGGCUGUCAAGGUUGGUUCCGACAACUCGAUUCCGAUUUAGCGGCCGCAUGUAUAUUUUUCCAGAACAAAGGUACUUUUCGUUUUCUUAAUGUAACUGUAUUACACGUGGUGGUGUACUUGCAGCAGUGGUCUGCAAUCAAGGUCAUUGCACCCUAUGUGGUUAUCCAAUGGAAACCUUAUUGAGAAAGGAGACCUAGAGGUGAAAAUCUUUUGUGUAUGGUUGCUGCUAUGAAGAAAAUGAAAGAUCUUGGAAAUGUUUGCAUGGAACAAGCAGCAGAGAUUGAGAAGUUAAAUAAUCUGGUAAGAUUUCUCUUCACAAAUAUGCAAGUUUAAUUACUAUUGUGCCACCGCAUUCAAUUGAAGGCCUAGAUUAGAUCAGAUGUGCGGUUGAGAUGCUCGCGUACGCAUCACAUGAUAAGGGAACAGAUAUUUGAGAGGGUGACAAAGAACCUAAAAGUGGCCCGAGUGUUUACAACUUUGGUGGAGGAGAUGAAGGCGUCAAGGCGUCAAGGUGACAUGGGGGCUGGAAAGAGCACAGCUCUAAAGGACAUUCUUCAAGAGUAAGUCGUUAAGUAUAUUAUACAAAUGACUCCCUCGAGGUAAGUUGAACGGGUUAGAUAAUAGGUCAAAACAGAUAUAUAUAAAAAAUAACGAGUAGGAUAUGCUUAAAAAAACAAUAUUAAUAUUUUAUUAAUCCAAAUCUUUGAAUUAAACAACUUAAAGGUUUUUCACAUAAAAAAUAGAAUUGAGCUACUUUCAAUGUGUUUAAUACUUUCAACCCAUUUGACCCACAUGCAAGGCGGUUUCAGUUUAGAAAAUAAUAAGAAUUAUGGCGUUAAAAUAUUGAUUUUUGUUAGAUUUUAAAAGUGUAAGGUUACAUUUGUUACAAAUAAAAGGUUUUUAAGAGUUAUAAUGUGGCUUUGAAUGUACACAGACCAGUUUGGGCAGGAGCAUCAGCAAAUGCAGUUGUAAUAGAAGCUUGGGUUUGGCCUAAACGGGUUUGGGCAGGAGCAUCAGCAUCAGCAAAUGCAGUUUUAUCUCAAAACUAUACGUCUAUAUAACAUUCUUCUUUUCUUUUGAGACCGAAACACAAUUAAUAAUUUUUCUUUCUAUUUUAAACGACAGAUGCAGACAUGGGAAUUAUCUAAUAUCAAACACCUGCUUGAGUUUCUCAGAUUAUAAAAAAACAAAUACCAAAUAGAUAACAGACAUCACUAUAUAUUUCUGGUUGAUUGCUUUUAACCACAAUACCUACUAUUAAUCCAAUUGUUUUGACCCAAAUAGUCAGAAUAUCAAAUUCGGAAAGUUUUUCCCAAUAAGAUACAUUGAAUUUUGACUUAUUGACGCAAUAAUCACUUUAGGCCAGUAGCCAAACAACCCCUAAUAAGGGUAGCUGGAUACAGUGUGUAUCAACCUUUAAAUAGUUGAAUUUGCUGCCAUAUGAUAUGUAGAUAUAUUCAUUUUUCAUUUAAAUAGUUGAAUUUGCUGCAAUAUGAUAUGCUGAUAUAUUCAUUUUUCAUUAGAAAGGGAAGAUCAUGAGUGUUGCCAUAGUUCCAUGUGUUAUCACAGUUGGAUGUAUGUAUCCACGCAUUCUUCGCUGAUCUUCGUGAUCCAAAUACUCGCCUACUAGGUGGACGAUCUUUGCCACCACUCUUUAAUUUCAAGCCUCAAGGUACUUGUUGAAGGCAACCAUGGAUGGCGACGACAUCGGGUUUUAGGCGAAACAAAUUGCAAGUGAUGAUGGGAAAAUGGGCUGGUUGGGCUGAUGGAUUUUGUGCGGGCCGAAACAGGCCUGGUUAGGUUGAUCCAAGACAGUUGUUCAACAUAUUUAUCUUUUUAAUAAAUAAUUAGUUUAAGAUAUGAUCA